rnacentral:piRNA from 1 species
UUACUCUGGAACAGAACCUCUUUGCCAGGUA